GAUGAACGCUGGCGGCGUGCCUAAUGCAUGCAAGUCGAGCGAACAGACGAGGAGCUUGCUCCUCUGACGUUAGCGGCGGACGGGUGAGUAACACGUGGAUAACCUACCUAUAAGACUGGGAUAACUUCGGGAAACCGGAGCUAAUACCGGAUAAUAUAUUGAACCGCAUGGUUCAAUAGUGAAAGACGGUUUUGCUGUCACUUAUAGAUGGAUCCGCGCCGCAUUAGCUAGUUGGUAAGGUAACGGCUUACCAAGGCAACGAUGCGUAGCCGACCUGAGAGGGUGAUCGGCCACACUGGAACUGAGACACGGUCCAGACUCCUACGGGAGGCAGCAGUAGGAAAUCUUCCGCAAUGGGCGAAAGCCUGACGGAGCAACGCCGCGUGAGUGAUGAAGGUCUUCGGAUCGUAAAACUCUGUUAUUAGGGAAGAACAAAUGUGUAAGUAACUAUGCACGUCUUGACGGUACCUAAUCAGAAAGCCACGGCUAACUACGUG
rnacentral:rRNA from 1 species